UUCAGUCCCCACCUGUUCCACAUCACCAACUCCUGGCCAGGGUGCAGCAACAGCUUUGGCUUCAGGACAUUGGUGUGAACUUGUGCCAGCCUCCCGUUGUGCCACUCUGGCUGAGGAGAGCACUCAAAGAAGCCAUUUGAACACCAAGUAUUGGAUAUUCUGUAUUUGGAUGAGCCAGCUUUACUCUGCCAUCCCUUUGGAGCUCCCUGGGCUUAUAGACAACAUGGAAAAUUAUUCUCAGUUCCCUUUUCAGAUCCAGUGUUUUCCUGGUUUGCUAAAGAGCAGAUUUGUUCUUUGAGUUUUUCAUAUCCUUCCUGUGCCCUGAUGUUAAAAACUCUGGAGAGGCAUUGCUUCAUGAUGAUGUCAGUGUCAGGCUUGGUCACCUGCGCUCUGCUGAAAAUAGAUCCAUCAGGAGUUAAUUAGGAUGAACUUCUGUGGGAUGAGUCCAAGGUAUGCAUACUUAAAACUUUGUGACAUAAGCAAUGGAGCAGCACAAUUCCUAGAGUAUGAG
rnacentral:lncRNA from 1 species